rnacentral:piRNA from 1 species
UAGAUCUGCAAAGGUGCUCUCUUAG